AUGGUCGCGCUCGCCUCCCUCUCUUCUCUGUGCCUCUGCGGCUCCGCUCGCCGCCGUUCUGCCUCCGCGCCCACCUCCAUAUCAUGCUGUGUGCUCGCAACUCCCUCCGGCAGAGGGUCUCAUGAAUCUAGAAUACCCCGUAGAAGGUUCCGGAGAACCGAGGGUGCUACUAAGAGCAUGGAAGAUUCAGUCAAGCGAAAGAUGGAGCAGUUCUACGAAGGGGUGGAUGGUCCGCCCCUCCGGGUCCUCCCAAUCGGCGGCCUUGGGGAAAUCGCUACGACGAGUUUGGUGUGCAAAAGAUUAUUCCCGACACAACUUUCAUCAAGAAAUGGAGCCACAAAAUUGAAGCAGUUAUUAUUACACAUGGCCAUGAAGAUCACAUCGGUUAUUCCUGCACUGGAUUCGACCACACCUAUUUUUGCGUCAUCUUUUACGAUGGAGCUCAUAAAGAAACGUUUGAAGGAGUUUGGGAUUUUUCUCUCAUCCAGGCUAAAGAGUUUUAGAGUUAGAAAUAGGUUUCAGGCUGGUCCAUUUGAAGUGGAACCUAUCCGCGUAACUCAUUCAAUUCCUGACUGCUGUGGAUUAGUGCUUCGUUGUGGUGAUGGCACAAUUUUCCAUACUGGUGACUGGAAAAUUGAUGAAUCACCAGUGGAUGGGAGAAUAUUCGACCGAGAAGCAUUGGAGGAGCUCUCGAAAGAAGGUGUUACUCUGAUGAUGAGCGACUCAACAAAUAUUCUGUCCCCUGGAAGAUCCACCAGUGAAUCUGUUGUCGCUAGUUCAUUGUUGCGUCAUGUUUCAGAAGCAAAAGGGAGAAGAGUAAUUACAACACAAUUUGCUUCAAAUAUACAUCGCAUUGGGAGCAUCAAAGCCGCUGCAGACUUAACUGGUCGAAGGCUGGUCUUUGUUGGAAUGUCACUGCGGACGUACCUUGAGGCUGCUUUCAGGGAUGGAAAGGCACCACUGGAUCCAUCAACCUUGGUUAAGGCAGAGGACAUGGAUGCAUAUGACCCUAAAAAUCUUUUAGUCGUUACUACAGGUUCACAGGCAGAGCCACGUGCGGCUCUGAAUCUCGCAUCUUAUGGUGGGAGCCAUGCUCUUAAACUAUCCAAAGAGGACGUCCUUCUUUAUUCAGCUAAGGUUAUCCCUGGAAACGAGUCCCGGGUAAUGAAGAUGUUAAAUCGCCUCACCGACCUUGGCCCCAAAAUUGUUAUGGGUAAAGAUGCUGGCCUCCAUACAUCUGGGCAUGCUUAUCACGAUGAACUGGAGGAAGUUCUACAGAUUGUUAAACCGCAGCAUUUCUUGCCUGUUCAUGGGGAACUCUUGUUUCUCAAAGAACAUGAAUUGCUAGGAAGGUCAACUGGCAUAAAGCACACUACUGUAAUUAAAAAUGGGGAGAUGCUUGGUGUAUCUCAUCUAAGAAACAGAAAGGUUUUGUCAAAUGGGUUUGUUUCUUUAGGGAAGCAGGACUUUAAGUUAAUGUAUAGUGACGGAGACAAAGCUUUUGGAACGUCCACUGAUCUCUGCAUUGACGAGAGAUUCAGGAUCGCAUCUGAUGGCAUUAUCUUUGUCAGCAUGGAGAUCUUCCGACCUAAACCUGCUUCACCACAGUCUGGCUUGAAAGGGAAAUUUAAAAUAACAACACGGUGUCUAUGGCUUGAUUAUGGUAGACUACUUGAUGCACUUUACAAGGCUGCGCAUGCUGCAUUGUCAAGCUGUCCUUUGAAUUGCCCACUUAGUCACAUGGAGCGAAUGGUAUCUGAAAUCUUGAGGAAAAUGGUCAGAAAGUACAGUGGAAAGAGACCUGACGUCAUUGUAGUUGCUUCAGAGAACACUACAGUAGGUUUCUCAGAAGAGGUAAUAAAUAGGCAUAUGAGUCUUGUAGACUAUGAGAAAACACGGCCAGAGAACCCAGAGCGUGAGGCUGAAGAGAGCAUCCCUGAGGUCAUGAGAACAACACCUGACGAUGCAACCACUAGCUCCAAUGGUGAAUCAUUCUUCUCUCCUGAUUUACAUCAGCCUAAAACAUUGGAUCAUUUUUGGGAGUCGUUCAAGUCCCCUACAGCAGUAAAAAUUGCAAGAAUUGUCAAUGCUUCAGCUCAAGGGAACAAACCAAAGCUCGGCAAGAUCAGCAUAAUUGAUAAGGAUUCCAGCACGUCAGCUCCUGCUCCAGCUAAAUCUUCAAGAAAGAACAAGUGGAAGCCCGAGGAAAUUAAGAGCUUAAUACAGCUGCGUGGAGAAAUGAAUGAGAAAUUCCAAACCGUCAAAGGAAGAAUGGUUCUGUGGGAAGAGAUAUCUGGUAGCCUGUUGAAGCAGGGGAUAACUCGUACACCAGCACAGUGCAAAUCUGUGUGGACAUCAUUGCUUCAGAAAUACGAGGAGAGCAAGAAGGAUGAAGAAAACAUGCGGACAUGGCAAUAUUUUUCGGCCAUGGAUAGUUUUUUAUCAUGCGAAGGGGAAAUGGCAACCAAAUGA
rnacentral:rRNA from 1 species